CCUACGGGGGGCAGCAGUGAGGAAUAUUGGUCAAUGGCCGUAAGGCUGAACCAGCCAAGUCGCGUGAAGGAAGAAGGAUCUAUGGUUUGUAAACUUCUUUUAUAGGGGAAUAAAGGUAUCCACGUGUGGAUAUUUGCAUGUACCCUAUGAAUAAGCAUCGGCUAACUCCGUGCCAGCAGCCGCGGUAAUACGGAGGAUGCGAGCGUUAUCCGGAUUUAUUGGGUUUAAAGGGUGCGUAGGUUGUUUUUUAAGUCAGCGGUGAAAGUUUGUGGCUCAACCAUAAAAUUGCCGUUGAAACUGGAAGACUUGAGUGUGUUUGAGGUAGGCGGAAUGCGUGGUGUAGCGGUGAAAUGCAUAGAUAUCACGCAGAACUCCGAUUGCGAAGGCAGCUUACUAAGCCAUAACUGACACUGAAGCUCGAAAGUGUGGGUAUCAAACAGGAUUAGAUACCCCAGUAGUC
rnacentral:rRNA from 1 species